CCUCCGUCAAAUCCUCCGGCUUCACCGGAGGGCCGCGCGGGGGAUACUGCUUCACUCGAGGGCAGGAGGGGAGAGUGGAAUUCCCGGAGGAGCGGUGAAAUGCGUUGAUACCGGGAGGAACACCGAAGGCGAAGGCAGCUCUCUGGAAUGUCCCUGACGCUGAACGCGCGAAAGCCGGGGGAGCAAACCGGAUUGGAGACCCGGGUAGUCCCGGCCGUAAAAGAUGGACACUGGUCCUGGGGAGCCCCGGCCCCGUUGGCCGGCUGAUUUUUCCAGGACGAAGCUCACGCGAUAAGUGUCCCGCCUGAGGAGUACGGCCGCAAGGCUGAAAAUCAAGGGAAUUGGCGAGCAUCCGCACAAGCGGCCGAGCACGUGGCUUAAUUGGAUGAGGUCCCAAGAACCUUACCAGGGCUUGACAUGCCUCGGACCCCCCGAGAAAUCGGGGCUCCAUGGAAACAUGGCCGGGGCACAGGUGGCGAGUGGCUGCCGUCAGCUCGUGCUGUGAAGCGUUGGGUUCACUCCCAUAACGGGCGUAACCCUCGCCCGGUGUUGCCAGCGGGUGUGCCCGAAAGGGCACAUGCCGGGAACUCACCGGGGACCGCCGUGGUCUUGCUUCUGUUUUUCUCGCGAUGACGGAAGUGGGAAGGCCAUGGGAGGAAGGAGGGGAUGACGACAAGUCCGUACACCCCGGAUGCCCUGGGCUGCACACGUGCUACAGUGGUCCGUACAGAGAGAACCAACGCCGCGAGGCCGAGGAAAGCUCAGAAAGCGGACCAAGGUUCGGAUUGCAGUCUGCAACCCGACUGCAUGAAGCCUGAAGUCGCUAGUAACCGCGGGUCAGCCAUACCGCGGUGAAUACGUUCCCGGAUGCCGUUCACAUUGCCAUCCACUACCUCCCAGGUGGGUUGCCCUGAAGCCGCGCCUACCGAAUGGGCCAUGAUGACCCAUCGGUGCGCGUCCAGGGGUAGCCCUGACGAGGAGGUUGAAGGGGGGGCAAAGACGCCGUACUGCGAGGUGCGGCAG
rnacentral:rRNA from 1 species